rnacentral:rRNA from 1 species
GACGAACGCUGGCGGCGUGCCUAAUACAUGCAAGUCGAACGCUUCUUUCCUCCCGAGUGCUUGCACUCAAUUGGAAAGAGGAGUGGCGGACGGGUGAGUAACACGUGGGUAACCUACCCAUCAGAGGGGGAUAACACUUGGAAACAGGUGCUAAUACCGCAUAACAGUUUAUGCCGCAUGGCAUAAGAGUGAAAGGCGCUUUCGGGUGUCGCUGAUGGAUGGACCCGCGGUGCAUUAGCUAGUUGGUGAGGUAACGGCUCACCAAGGCCACGAUGCAUAGCCGACCUGAGAGGGUGAUCGGCCACACUGGGACUGAGACACGGCCCAGACUCCUACGGGAGGCAGCAGUAGGGAAUCUUCGGCAAUGGAUGAAAGUCUGACCGAGCAACGCCGCGUGAGUGAAGAAGGUUUUCGGAUCGUAAAACUCUGUUGUUAGAGAAGAACAAGGACGUUAGUAACUGAACGUCCCCUGGCGGUAUCUAACCAGAAAGCCACGGCUAACUACGUG